rnacentral:rRNA from 1 species
UACGAAGGGGGCUAGCGUUGCUCGGAAUCACUGGGCGUAAAGGGUGCGUAGGCGGGUCUUUAAGUCAGGGGUGAAAUCCUGGAGCUCAACUCCAGAACUGCCUUUGAUACUGAAGAUCUUGAGUUCGGGAGAGGUGAGUGGAACUGCGAGUGUAGAGGUGAAAUUCGUAGAUAUUCGCAAGAACACCAGUGGCGAAGGCGGCUCACUGGCCCGAUACUGACGCUGAGGAGCGAAAGCGUGGGUAGCGAACAGG